UACGUAGGGGCAAGCGUUGUCCGGAAUCAUUGGGCGUAAAGCGCGUGUAGGCGGCUCGAUAAGUCUGCUGUGAAAGUCCAGGGCUCAACCCUGGGAUGCCGGUGGAUACUGUCGAGCUCGAGUCCGGAAGAGGCGAGUGGAAUUCCUGGUGUAGCGGUGAAAUGCGCAGAUAUCAGGAGGAACACCAAUGGCGAAGGCAGCUCGCUGGGACGUGACUGACGCUGAGACGCGAAAGCGUGGGGAGCAAACAGG
rnacentral:rRNA from 1 species